rnacentral:rRNA from 1 species
CCUACGGGAGGCAGCAGUGAGGAAUAUUGGUCAAUGGCCGUAAGGCUGAACCAGCCAAGUAGCGUGAGGGAAGACGGCCCUAUGGGUUGUAAACCUCUUUUAUGCGGGGGUAAAGGAGUCCACGUGUGGAGGUUUGCGGGUACCGCAAGAAUAAGGAUCGGCUAAUUCCGUGCCAGCAGCCGCGGUAAUACGGAGGGUGCGGGCGUUAUCCGGAUUUAUUGGGUUUAAAGGGUGCGUAGGCCGGUAGUUAAGCGUGCCGGGAAAUUGUGAGGCUCAACCAUGAGCGGGCGUUGGUAACUGGUGACCUUGAGUGCGUGGAAGGCAGGCGGAAUGCGUGGUGUAGCGGUGAAAUGCUUAGAUAUCACGCAGAACCCCGAUUGCGAAGGCAGCAUGCCGCCGCGUUACUGACGCUGAUGCUCGAAAGCGCGGGUAUCGAACAGGAUUAGAUACCCGAGUAGUC